CUUCUUANAGGGGCUAUCGGUGUUUAACCGAUGGAAGUUUGAGGCAAUAACAGGUCUGUGAUGCCCUUAGAUGUUCUGGNCCGCACGCGCGCUACACUGAUGAAGUCAUCGAGUUCAUUUCCUUCAUCGGAAGAUGUGGGUAAUCUUUUGAAACUUCAUCGUGCUGGGGAUAGAGCUUUGCAAUUAUUGCUCUUGAACGAGGAAUCCCUAGUAAGUACAAGUCAUCAGCUUGUGCUGAUUACGUCCCUGCCCUUUGUACCCACCGCCCGUCGCUACUACCGAUUGAAUGGCUUAGUGAGGC
rnacentral:rRNA from 1 species